CGAGCGAAUGGAUUAAGAGCUUGCUCUUAUGAAGUUAGCGGCGGACGGGUGAGUAACACGUGGGUAACCUGCCCAUAAGACUGGGAUAACUCCGGGAAACCGGGGCUAAUACCGGAUAACAUUUUGAACCGCAUGGUUCGAAAUUGAAAGGCGGCUUCGGCUGUCACUUAUGGAUGGACCCGCGUCGCAUUAGCUAGUUGGUGAGGUAACGGCUCACCAAGGCAACGAUGCGUAGCCGACCUGAGAGGGUGAUCGGCCACACUGGGACUGAGACACGGCCCAGACUCCUACGGGAGGCAGCAGUAGGGAAUCUUCCGCAAUGGACGAAAGUCUGACGGAGCAACGCCGCGUGAGUGAUGAAGGCUUUCGGGUCGUAAAACUCUGUUGUUAGGGAAGAACAAGUGCUAGUUGAAUAAGCUGGCACCUUGACGGUACCUAACCAGAAAGCCACGGCUAACUACGUGCCAGCAGCCGCGCUAAUACGUAGGUGGCAAGCGUUAUCCGGAAUUAUUGGGCGUAAAGCGCGCGCAGGUGGUUUCUUAAGUCUGAUGUGAAAGCCCACGGCUCAACCGUGGAGGGUCAUUGGAAACUGGGAGACUUGAGUGCAGAAGAGGAAAGUGGAAUUCCAUGUGUAGCGGUGAAAUGCGUAGAGAUAUGGAGGAACACCAGUGGCGAAGGCGACUUUCUGGUCUGUAACUGACACUGAGGCGCGAAAGCGUG
rnacentral:rRNA from 1 species